GCACUGCUGGUGUAAUGGUAGCAUGAGAGCCUUCCAAGCUUUUGAUCCGGGUUCAAUUCCCGGGCAGUGCA
rnacentral:tRNA from 2 species